rnacentral:rRNA from 1 species
AUUGAACGCUGGCGGCAGGCCUAACACAUGCAAGUCGAGCGAGCGGCGGACGGGUGAGUAAUGUAUGGGGACUGCCCGAUAGAGGGGGAUAACUCCUGGAAACGGUAGCUAAUACCGCAUACUAUCGGAUAACCCAUAUGGGAUUAGCUAGUAGGUGAGGUAAUGGCUCACCUAGGCGACGAUCCCUAGCUGGUCUGAGAGGAUGAGCAGCGACACUGGGACUGAGACACGGCCCAGACUCCCACGGAGGCAGCAGUGGGGAAUAUUGACCAAUGGGAGCAAUCCUGAUGCAGCCAUGCCGCUUGUAUGAAGAAGGCCCUAGGGUCGUAAAGUACUUUCAGUCGGGAGGCGUUACCGACAGAAGAAGCACCGGCUAACUCCGUGCCAGCAGCCGCGGUAAUAC